GUCAAUAACUCACCGCUAACUCACCCACGAGUAUAGCGGGAGCUUGUGAAAGCUCUUAGUUGACCAGUCUGAGUUCUUAGAGAACUACGUUAUUUUCAAGCGUUUAAAUUCCUACCUGGGGAUGCGUAGCUAGUCCCCAGCUCUAGAACCCAAUUAUUAAACAGGCGUAGUUGAGUUAGGCCAGUGUAAUUGGGAAAGUACCGAGAAAUAACAUUGACGAAGCUAACCUUAC
rfam:Lyngbya majuscula 3L genomic scaffold scf52118, whole genome shotgun sequence.